GAUGAACGCUGGCGGCGUGCCUAAUACAUGCAAGUCGAGCGCACAGAUUAUACCUUAGCUUGCUCCACCAUAGACUGUGAGUUGCGAACGGGUGAGUCACGCGUAGGUAACCUUCCUGGUAGCGGGGGAUAACUGUUGGAAACGCUAGCUACUACCGCAUUAUAUUGAUUAUUGCAUGAUAAUUGAUUGAAAGAUGCUAUUGCAUCACUACCAGAUGGACCUGCGUUGUAGUAGCUAGUAGGUGAGGUGACGGCUCACCUAGGCGACGAUACAUAGCCGACCUGGGAGGGUGAGCAGGCACACCGGGACUGGGACAGGGCCCAGAUCCAGACGGGAAGGAGCAGUAGGGGAGCGUAAGCAAUGGAAGAAAGUCUGACCGAGCAACGCCGAGUGAGCGAAGAAGAGGUUCGGAUCGUGAAGCGCAGUUGUAUGUGAAGAGCGGGUGUGGGAGUGGAAAGUUCACAUUGUGACGGUACCUUAUGAGAAAGGGACGGCUAACUACGUG
rnacentral:rRNA from 1 species